rnacentral:lncRNA from 1 species
GACAAUGAAGAAAAAGGGCAUGCAGGAGGAAGAAAGAGAAGCAGCUAUGGGUUAAGAGUCAAGAGGGCAUGGCCCUGAGAGCUGCCCCAUUGGAGCUAAAAGCAGCCCAGAUGAAGCAUAAGCCUGGCUGUGAUUUCCAUUCAGGAAGAGCUUGAUGACAAGGCCCAGGUCCCAACCUGCUGUCUCUCAGAGGUUCCUGUGUUCUGAUUCCUUGGCAACUGCUUCACCCACAGAUGACAGAUCUUUUCUAGCAUCGAAGAGGACUGAGCUUUUCCAGGGUCCCAUUCUAGCCUCUGGACCUGAGUCUUGGCAGCACUGACUGGUUACCUGCAAGCCACACAGUCAUCCCUUAACCUAUCACUGAAGUCAAAGAGAUGUGAUCUCCCGAUUGAUUGGCUUGGCCAGGUCACAUGCUCACCUCUGAGGUUGAAGUGAGGUGAGGUCUGCAGUUACUGUUUGAGAGAUUCCUGCAACAUUUCUGGAAGCCCCAGUGAGAUCUCCUUCUCCAUGGCCCCAUGGUAGAGACGGGCUGCUGCUCCCUGGUCUCUGAGAACACUAAAGUCUUCUGGAACUGAGAAGCACAAGGGGACUGCGGGACCAAGACCUGGAGUCUCUGGGAAACAUACAUCCUAAACAGGACUUCAGGGUCCUCUCCCAGUGGACAAGGGGACUGCGGGACCAAGACCUGGAGUCUCUGGGAAGCACACAUCCUAAACAGGACUUCAGGGUCCUCUCCCAGUGGACAAGGGGACUGCGGGACCAAGACCUGGAGUCUCUGGGAAGCACACAUCCUAAACAGGACUUCGGGGUCCUCUCCCAGUGGACAAGGGGACUGUGGGACCAAGACCUGGAGUCUCUGAGCGGAAGACCAGAUGAGACUGGGCUGGAUGUCCAGGCCAGGUAAAGACAAAAAAGGGAGAUAGGCAGGAAGAGCCAGCAAUGGCUAGAUCGCCUUGCAGGAUAUUAUAUCUGGAGCCUUGAAGGGAUACUCAGGUAGCACCGGUCCCCAAGGAAAAGGCCUUGAUGAGAUACUCAGGUGGAUUAGUCUUGGAAGAAAUAGACAGACUAAGCAUUUAAAAGGGGGAUGUAUAACUUCUAAGUGAAUGGUGAAUGACUGUGUAGGUGACUGUAAUGCUCCCGCAGCUCCGUGGCUACAGAAUUUGAUUGGGCCUCAACCUCAGAUCGGCUGAAGCCCUUUCAAAUGAACAGGCACUCCCACUCACAAUAGGAGGUGACCAAGUACAAGGUUAUACAUGUGGCUCUAAGGAAAGACCUCUGAAAUUGCCACAUGGUGUCUGGCCAGGCAGAUGCCUGCUUGAGGGAGAAGCUGGUCUCCACCUCACCCUAUUACUACACAGGGUUAGGCACACAUAAACUCCCCCAGUUUCCAGAUAGGGAAUUUUUCUCACCAUGGGAUUUGUAAAAUCCUGAUGUGAAACUCACACAAUCCUGCAAAGACCUUUGUGAUGGUUUGUAUAUCCUUGGACCAGGGAGUGGCACCAUCUGAAGGUGUGGCCUUGUUGGAAUAGGUGUGACCUGGUUGGAAUGGGUGUGUCACUGUGGGUGUGGGUAUAAGAUCCUCACCCUAGUUGCCUGGAAGUCAGUCUUCCACUAGCAGCCUUUGGAUGAAAACAUAGAACUCUCAGCUCCUCCUGCGCCAUGCCUGCCUGGAUGCUGCCAUGCUCCCACCUUGAUGAUAAUGGACUGAACCUCUGAACCUGUAAGCCAGCCCCAAUUAAAUGUUGUUUUUUAUAAGA